CAGAUGAGAAAUAUCCCAAGACAGCUGGUUUCAAUGUCUCCUGUUCCACUCAGAGUGCUAGAGAUUCUACACACGAUACUUUCUGGAUUACAGUAGCCCUGCUGAAGUCUGGGACUCCACUGAGGACGAUUCACAGAGGCAUUUCAAGGUCUGACACAAGAGGUUAAGCAGUCAGGAGUGAAGAAACUCAGAAGGAAAGCAUCUUUUUCUCACAGAGACUACUUUAUAGUACGGUGACAGGAUCCCAAACAUUGGACCAUCUUCUACUCCAUCCCCAGACCUGUGAUCAAAGAGUUCUAUCAGAAGUGGAGGAGCCAUAUGGGAUGCCGGAUUGCAGGAAGCGGCUUUCCCUCCUGCAUCAGAAUGCCGGCUCUGGAACAAUUACUUUUUAAAAAUGACUUUUCCAAGCAUAGUGCAAAAGUGAUGCAUUCUACUAUCCAAAAACCAAAAGGAAUAAACU